GUAUGGAGCAAGCGUUAUCCGGAUUUACUGGGUGUAAAGGGUGCGUAGGUGGCAGUGCAAGUCAGAUGUGAAAUCCACGGGCUCAACUCGUGAACUGCAUUUGAAACUACUCUUCUUGAGUAUCGGAGAGGCAAUCGGAAUUCCUAGUGUAGCGGUGAAAUGCGUAGAUAUUAGGAGGAACACCAGUGGCGAAGGCGGAUUGCUGGACGACAACUGACGGUGAGGCGCGAAAGCGUGGGGAGCAAACAGGAUUAGAUACCCUGGUAGUCCACGCUGUAAACGAUGAAUACUAGGUGUGCGGGGACUGACCCCCUGCGUGCCGCAGCUAACACAAUAAGUAAUCCACCUGGGGAGU
rnacentral:rRNA from 1 species